UGUAGGCUGCAACUCGCCUACACGAAGCUGGAAUCGCUAGUAAUCGCGGAUCAGCACGCCGCGGUGAAUACGUUCCCGGGCCUUGUACACACCGCCCGUCACACCAUGAGAGUCUGUAACACCCAAAGCCGGUGGGAUAACCUUUAUAGGAGUCAGCCGUCUAAGGUAGGACAGAUGAUUAGGGUGAAGUCGUAACAAGGUAUC
rnacentral:rRNA from 1 species